GAAGGGGGCUAGCGUUGCUCGGAAUUACUGGGCGUAAAGGGAGCGUAGGCGGGUUAUCAAGUUGGGGUGAAAGCCCGGGGCUCAACCUCGGAAUUGCCUUCAAAACUGAUAACCUGGAGUAUGGAAGAGGUAAGUGGAACUCCGAGUGUAGAGGUGAAAUCCGUAGAUAUUCGGAAGAACACCAGUGGCGAAGGCGACUUACUGGUCCAUUACAGACGCUGAGGCUCGAAAGCGUGGGGAGCAAACAGGAUUAGAUACCCUGGUAGUCCACGCCGUAAACGAUGAUUGCUAGUUGUCAGCCGGCAUGCCGGUUGGUGACGCAGCUAACGCAUUAAGCAAUCCGCCUGGGGAGUACGGUCGCAAGAUUA
rnacentral:rRNA from 1 species